rnacentral:snRNA from 1 species
GUGCAUAUAUCAGCAGCAAAUAUACUAAAGCUGGAAUAAUAGAGGAAAUUAGCAUGGCCUUGUGCAAGGAUGACAUGCAAAUUCAUGAACUGUUCCAUAUUUUU